rnacentral:sRNA from 1 species
AGUUGGGGCCCAGCCCUUUAAAGCCAUCGCUCCUUCUUUCGGGCCGGAUGUGUGCUGAGACCCAGAGUCACCCAGGGGUCUCCGUCACGUGCCGGGAGUAGGCAGAAGUGGGCUGUGACAGAUCAGGAAACAGAGCUCAGUGCAGCCCGCUAAAUUGCUCAGGGCCCUACAGCUAACAAGCGGCAGAGGCAGGAUCUGCACUCAGGAGCUGCUUGGAGAUGCUGCUGUGGCCACUCCUGCUGCUGCUGCUGCUGCUGCUGCCAACAUUGGCCCUGCUCAGGCAGCAGCGGUCCCAAGAUGCCAGGCUGUCCUGGCUUGCUGGCCUCCAGCACCGAGUGGCAUGGGGGGCCCUGGUCUGGGCAGCCACCUGGCAGCGGUGGAGGCUGGAGCAGAGCACGCUCCACGUGCACCAGAGCCAGCAGCAGGCCCUGACGUGGUGUCUACAGGGAGCCCAGCGCCCCCACUGUUCCCUCAGAAGGAGCACAGGCCAGCCAGACCCAGGAGGAAGAGAGUGGAGAGCAGCCACUGCCCCCGACCUCAAACCA